rnacentral:tRNA from 1 species
GGAGAGAUGUCAGAGUGGCCGAUCGAGCACGCUUGGAAAGCGUGUAUACUGUAAUAGGUAUCGAGGGUUCGAAUCCCUCUCUCUCCGCAA